rnacentral:rRNA from 1 species
GACGAACGCUGGCGGCGUGCCUAAUACAUGCAAGUAGGACGCAGUUGCGAACGGGUGAGUAACGCGUAGGUCACUGCCUCUUUGAGGGGGAUAACUAUUGGAAACGAUAGCUAAUACCGCAUACUAGUAGAUGGACAUGCGUUGUAUUAGCUAGUAGGUAGGGUAAUGGCCUACCUAGGCAAAGAUACAUAGCCGACCUGAGUGGGGGAUCGGCCACACCGGGACUGGUGAACGGCCCAGAGUCCUACGGGAGGCAGCAGUAGGGAAUCUUCGGAAAUGGGGGGAACCCUGACCGGGUAACGCCGCGAGAGUGAAGAAGGUUUUCGGAUCGUAAAGCUCUGUUGUUAAGGAAGCGGUACUUAACCAGAAAGGGACGGCUAACUACGUGCCAGCAGCCGCGGUAAUAC